UGCCGUUAUUUUGGGGUUGUGUGUGGUGGUGGGUGGGGGUGUCGCAGCUGGGAUUUCUCUCCUCUGAUUCUCUCGUGGCAGAUGGGGUGCUAGCCCACCCCCACCCUCAGGAGCAGAGUACUGGGUCAGGCUUUCGGGGUGACUCAGCACCCAUGGGUGCCGGGAUCGGGCUAGAAGCCCUGUUUGGGAGGGGGCCAGCCUCUUGGGGUAGGUCCCAAGUGUCAGACUUAUGUUUGGAGGAGCCGGAAGUCUAUGUUUGGGGACCAGGCCGGCUGUGAUUUCGUAGGAGGGGCUGUGAGUCUUGGCCCUGUCAGCCCCAGUCAGGGUAGAUUCUUUUGAUUCUUCAAGGUAGCAGAAGCUACCAAGAGAUUGGAAGCCACCAUCUUGGGAGGACGCUCACUGAUCUCACGGGAAUCCAGUGGUCCAGAUACUGAAAAGCCCAAGUUGCCCUCUUGUUAGUCAAGGAGGAAGGUUGUCUCUGCCCUCCCAACUCCACAGCGCCUCCACUGGCCUGGAGAAAGAAUUGCAGCCUAGAAUCUCCUGCAGGCCCUCAGCCAUGGACCCUGUGUGGGGUCACUCUGACCCCAGCCGUCCAGUGUGGACCAGCUAGCCUUCCAGGAGCCACAUCUGAAGAGCAUCCAGCUCCCCACUGAGCGUGAAUAACAGUCUCAGCCAUCAUGUGCUUUUGCUAAAAAUAAACUUGACAUACUUUUACAUUGGGAAACAAUGUGGAUUCCAAACAUUCU